rnacentral:rRNA from 1 species
UACAGAGGGGGCGAGCGUUGUUCGGAAUUACUGGGCGUAAAGGGCGCGUAGGCGGUCUGCUAAGUUGGAUGUGAAAACUCUGGGCUUAACCCAGAGCCUGCAUUCAAUACUGACAGGCUAGAGUUCUGGAGGGGAUAGCGGAAUUCCCAGUGUAGAGGUGAAAUUCGUAGAUAUUGGGAAGAACACCGGUGGCGAAGGCGGCGACCUGGUCCUUGACUGACGCUGAGGCGCGAAAGCGUGGGGAGCAACAGG